UAAGCUGGCACCUUGACGGUACCUAACCAGAAAGCCACGGCUAACUACGUGCCAGCAGCCGCGGUAAUACGUAGGUGGCAAGCGUUAUCCGGAAUUAUUGGGCGUAAAGCGCGCGCAGGUGGUUUCUUAAGUCUGAUGUGAAAGCCCACGGCUCAACCGUGGAGGGUCAUUGGAAACUGGGAGACUUGAGUGCAGAAAAGGAAAGUGGAAUUCCAUGUGUAGCGGUGAAAUGCGUAAAGAUAUGGAGGAACACCAGUGGCGAAGGCGACUUUCUGGUCUGUAACUGACACUGAGGCGCGAAAGCGUGGGGAGCAAACAGGAUUAGAUACCCUGGUAGUCCACGCCGUAAACGAUG
rnacentral:rRNA from 1 species